rnacentral:rRNA from 1 species
UACGUAGGGGGCUAGCGUUGUCCGGAUUUAUUGGGCGUAAAGAGCGUGUAGGCGGCCAGGUAGGUCUGCUGUGAAAACUCGAGGCUCAACCUCGAGACGUCGGCGGAAACCAUCUGGCUAGAGUCCGGAAGAGGCGAGUGGAACUCCUGGUGUAGCGGUGGAAUGCGCAGAUAUCAGGAAGAACACCAACGGCGAAGGCAGCUCGCUGGGACGGUACUGACGCUGAGACGCGAAAGCGUGGGGAGCGAACAGG